rnacentral:rRNA from 1 species
AUACGGAGGAUCCGAGCGUUAUCCGGAUUUAUUGGGUUUAAAGGGAGCGUAGGUGGAUUGUUAAGUCAGUUGUGAAAGUUUGCGGCUCAACCGUAAAAUUGCAGUUGAAACUGGCAGUCUUGAGUACAGUAGAGGUGGGCGGUAUUCGUGGUGUAGCGGGGAAAUGCUUAGAUAUCACGAAGAACUCCGAUUGCGAAGGCAGCUCACUAGACUGUUACUGACACUGAUGCUCGAAAGUGUGGGUAUCAAACAGGAUUAGAUACCCUGGUAGUCCACACAGUAAACGAUGAAUACUCGCUGUUUGCGAUAUACAGUAAGCGGCCAAGCGAAAGCAUUAAGUAUUCCACCUGGGGAGUACGCCGGCAACGGUGAAACUCAAAGGAAUUGACGGGG